UAGUUCGGUCGCAGCAAAACAGAUUAGUGUAAGUUCUAAUGCUAUUUGCAAAUUUCUAAACAGACAAAGAUGUUGGCUCGAGAACAAAGGCCAUCGUCAGGCGCGAACCUAACAGGUUUAAAAAUGGUAGGUCGGCGGGUCAGGCAAUCGGGGUCGUCGCUGCGUGGUUCCUGGCUUUAUGCCAAACGAUUCACCCGAGUUUGUCGGCGGAUUUCGUCGACCGACUCAAAACAGAUUGCUGUGUAAUUUAAACCCGAAGCUUACGAAACCCCAAACUGAUCUUUUUCCUCUUCUCGCUUUUUCUACUUCUCUAACUCUCCCAUUUGAUUUUUAUUGUAGGAGGAGUCUUUCGGAACUAACUGUUGACUCGCCGCAUCCAUAAUUCGGCGG
rnacentral:lncRNA from 1 species